rnacentral:rRNA from 1 species
ACUGCGUACCUUUUGUAUAAUGGGUCAGCGACUUAUAUUCUGUAGCAAGGUUAACCGUAUAGGGGAGCCGUAGGGAAACCGAGUCUUAACCGGGCGUUAAGUUGCAGGGUAUAGACCCGAAACCCGGUGAUCUAGCCAUGGGCAGGUUGAAGGUUGGGUAACACUAACUGGAGGACCGAACCGACUAAUGUUGAAAAAUUAGCGGAUGACCUGUGGCUGGGGGUGAAAGGCCAAUCAAACCGGGAGAUAGCUGGUUCUCCCCGAAAGCUAUUUAGGUAGCGCCUCGUGAAUUCAUCUCCGGGGGUAGAGCACUGUUUCGGCUAGGGGGCCAUCCCGGCUUACCAACCCGAUGCAAACUGCGAAUACCGGAGAAUGUUAUCACGGGAGACACACGGCGGGUGCUAACGUCCGUCGUGAAGAGGGAAACAACCCAGACCGCCAGCUAAGGUCCCAAAGUCAUGGUUAAGUGGGAAACGAUGUGGGAAGGCCCAGACAGCCAGGAUGUUGGCUUAGAAGCAGCCAUCAUUUAAAGAAAGCGUAAUAGCUCACUGGUCGAGUCGGCCUGCGCGGAAGAUGUAACGGGGCUAAACCAU